rnacentral:rRNA from 1 species
UAGGGAAUCUUCGGCAAUGGGGGAAACCCUGACGAAGCACCGCCGCGUGGGGGAAGAAGGUUUUCGGAUGGUAAGGCUCUGUUGUUAGGGAAGAAGGAGUGUGAAAAUGGAAAGUUCAUGUGGUGAGGGUACUUAACCAGAAAGGGACGGCUACCUCCGUGCCAGCAGCCGCGGUAAUACGUAGGUCCCGAGCGUUGUCCGGAUUUAUUGGGCGUAAAGCGAGCGCAGGCGGUUAGAUAAGUCUGAAGUUAAAGGCAGUGGCUCAACCAUUGUAGGCUUUGGAAACUGUUUAACUUGAGUGCAGAAGGGGAGAGUGGAAUUCCAUGUGUAGCGGUGAAAUGCGUAGAUAUAUGGAGGAACACCGGUGGCGAAAGCGGCUCUCUGGUCUGUAACUGACGCUGAGGCUCGAAAGCGUGGGGAGCGAACAGG